rnacentral:rRNA from 1 species
GUCGUACGCUUCUUUUUCACCGGAGCUUGCUCCACCGGAAAAAGAAGAGUGGCGAACGGGUGAGUAACACGUGGGUAACCUGCCCAUCAGAAGGGGAUAACACUUGGAAACAGGUGCUAAUACCGUAUAACAAUCGAAACCGCAUGGUUUUGAUUUGAAAGGCGCUUUCGGGUGUCGCUGAUGGAUGGACCCGCGGUGCAUUAGCUAGUUGGUGAGGUAACGGCUCACCAAGGCCACGAUGCAUAGCCGACCUGAGAGGGUGAUCGGCCACAUUGGGACUGAGACACGGCCCAAACUCCUACGGGAGGCAGCAGUAGGGAAUCUUCGGCAAUGGACGAAAGUCUGACCGAGCAACGCCGCGUGAGUGAAGAAGGUUUUCGGAUCGUAAAACUCUGUUGUUAGAGAAGAACAAGGAUGAGAGUAACUGUUCAUCCCUUGACGGUAUCUAACCAGAAAGCCACGGCUAACUACGUGCCAGCAGCCGCGGUAAUACGUAGGUGGCAAGCGUUGUCCGGAUUUAUUGGGCGUAAAGCGAGCGCAGGCGGUUUCUUAAGUCUGAUGUGAAAGCCCCCGGCUCAACCGGGGAGGGUCAUUGGAAACUGGGAGACUUGAGUGCAGAAGAGGAGAGUGGAAUUCCAUGUGUAGCGGUGAAAUGCGUAGAUAUAUGGAGGAACACCAGUGGCGAAGGCGGCUCUCUGGUCUGUAACUGACGCUGAGGCUCGAAAGCGUGGGGAGCAAACAGGAUUAGAUACCCUGGUAGUCCACGCCGUAAACGAUGAGUGCUAAGUGUUGGAGGGUUUCCGCCCUUCAGUGCUGCAGCUAACGCAUUAAGCACUCCGCCUGGGGAGUACGACCGCAAGGUUGAAACUCAAAGGAAUUGACGGGGGCCCGCACAAGCGGUGGAGCAUGUGGUUUAAUUCGAAGCAACGCGAAGAACCUUACCAGGUCUUGACAUCCUUUGACCACUCUAGAGAUAGAGCUUCCCCUUCGGGGGCAAAGUGACAGGUGGUGCAUGGUUGUCGUCAGCUCGUGUCGUGAGAUGUUGGGGUUAAGUCCCGCAACGAGCGCAACCCUUAUUGUUAGUUGCCAUCAUUCAGUUGGGCACUCUAGCAAGACUGCCGGUGACAAACCGGAGGAAGGUGGGGAUGACGUCAAAUCAUCAUGCCCCUUAUGACCUGGGC